UUCCGUAUUCGACUGUAUUAACCGUGUGCAAGUGAUUCUUUGUGCUAUCGUGCUAUCACCGAAGGCAUCACACGCCAAACUGAACAGCUACCCGACUGACCAAAAGACGGUGACACUGCUCAGACAUGGUAUUGGUGAAUAUCAGACUAGCAAUAGUGACAGGCGCCAACAAGGGUAUCGGGUACGCCAUCGUAAAGACUCUGUGUGAACGAUUCGACGGCAAUGUUUACCUUACAGCCCGCGACGUUGGCAGGGGCGAGGCCGCGGUCGGACGGCUGAAUGAGCUGGGUCUGAAGCCCAAGUUCCACCAGCUGGACGUGACCGACACAGGUAGCGUGGCCGCGUUCGCCAAGUUCGUGACCGACAGCUACGCGGGCAUUGACGUGCUGGUCAACAACGCCGCGAUCGCCUUCAAAGUGGCCGCCACCGAGCCGUUCGGCGAACAGGCCGAGGAAACGCUCCGGGUCAACUACUUUGCACUGCGAACUGUGUGCGAUGCACUGUUCCCAUUGCUAGUGUCCGGUGCUCGUGUGGUAAAUUUGUCCGGCUAUACCGGCCGCCUGUCACUGAUUCCGGGUGAAGAGCUUAGGCGAACGCUGUCCUCGCCUCUGUUGACCAUCGACCAGCUUGACGCUCUGAUGCGUCAGUUCGUGGAGAAAGCCAAGGGGGGCGAUCAUAAACAAUCCGGAUGGCCGUCGUCCGCGUACUGCGUGUCCAAAGUCGGAGUUAGUGCGCUGACAUUCAUACUACAGAGGCAAUUCGAUGAAGAUCCCAGGACAGACAUUGUGAUCAACAGUGUCCACCCUGGCUACGUGGCCACGGAUAUGGCCAGUCACAAUGGAACGUUAACUAUUGAACAGGGGGCCGAAGUUCCAGUUUAUCUGUCUCUGUUGCCUGCAGGUGAACAAAAUGUUAGAGGCCGUUUUGUCUGGAGCGACAAGACCAUUAGUAACUGGUUCGAAUGUUAAAUCAAGUAAGUUUAAGAGGAUAUCAGCGCACUAUUCGUUUUCUCGCUCUGACCCACGGGCAACAUAGACAAAACGCAUUUACGUAAAAUUAUUUUUUCUAUGCGUUUAAGUAAUCUUAGAGUAAAGUCACCUAUUAUAAAAAAGAUGGAGGAUAAUAUUUUUGAGGAGAUGACAUAUCGAUUUUAUAUUUUAUUAUUAUUUGACUUUGUAUUCCACUUUCAAAAUAAAUAAAAAAAUGUUAUAAAUUUAAAUGAUGUUUAGAUUGUUUUGAGACAAUAUUUAGACAAAUCGAUAUGUCUUUCCCUCAAAAGUAUUAUUCUCUAUCUUUUUUGUCAUGGGUUACUUUACCCUAUGAUUACUUAAACACAUAGAAAUAAUGAUUUUGCGUGAAUGCAUUUUAUCUAAGUUUCGUGUGAGCUAGAGAGAGAAAACAAAUAGUGCGCUGACAGCCUCUUAAAUGAAAUAAUAUAUGUUAUAUAUAGUGUAAGUCUUUAUACAUUAUAUAAGGGAACUAUUUUUUUAAAUAUAUUGAUUCCAACAAAAGUAUCGCAUUAGUUGUUGUUUCCGUUACACUUUGUAUAAUGUAUACAUAAAUGAAGAUAAGUGUAGAUAAAUAAAUGUAUAUAUUUUGUGACUCA